AAAAAGACAAACCCUGGUUUUCGUGUCCAACAUUUAACCGUCCGUCUUAUUUGAAAAAGUUAUGAACAAAAUUAAAAAGAUAAGUCACGCAUAAAGUAUUAAUCAUGUUUUAUCAUCUAACAACAAUAAAAAUACUAAUUAUAAAAAAAUUUCAUAUAAGACGGACAGUCAAACGUUGGCACGGGAACCCACGGUUUGCCUUUUU
rnacentral:pre_miRNA from 1 species